UACGUAGGGACCGAGCGUUGUCCGGAAUCAUUGGGCGUAAAGAGCGUGUAGGCGGCUAUUUAAGUCCUGCGUGAAAUCCUGCGGCUCAACCGCAGACGGUCGUGGGAAACUGGAUGGCUAGAGUGCGGGGGAGGAGAGUGGAAUUCCCGGUGUAGCGGUGAAAUGCGCAGAUAUCGGGAAGAACACCCGUGGCGAAGACGGCUCUCUGGAACGCAACUGACGCUGAGACGCGAAAGCGUGGGGAGCAAACAGG
rnacentral:rRNA from 1 species